rnacentral:miRNA from 1 species
GCAGGUAUUGUCUCAGGUUAUAACCAGGUUAUAACCAUGUUAUAACCAGGUAAUGUCUCAGGUUAUAACCAGGUUAUAAUCUGGUUAUAUCCAGGUCAUGUCU